CAAGUCUGGAGGAUCACGAUCCCUCAGCUCAUCCAGGGAAGAGAACAGAACAUUCUCCCGGGGAGUACCAUCCUCCAUAGGACAAUCUUGGCCCAUUGGCCCAUCCAAGGACGAAACCAUCAUCUUCUCCGCCUGUGCACGUUCACCAACCACUGGGAUGAACGGAAGAGUAGUGGCAUCGGUGAAACAAAACUCAUGGGGACUAAACCAACACUAGAUGAUAUGGUACCUGUUGCGGAUACACACCUCACGUCUUGUCAACGACCAUAGUUCCCUUUCAUACUCCACGAGGCCAAAUACCAGGUGAAAACGGGAUAGCCAAAUCCAACAGGACUGGCUUUGCCACCAAUCCCACAGUAGGGAGGUCAAGUGAUAUUGAUCCCCUAUUCGUCGCUACUGGUGUGUCCAAUAACGAGGUUGCUUAUGAAUUGUGCAACAUUGUCCGACUGUACUCUCUUCGGGAAUCCAAAAUGCGAAAACCACGCAAAAAGCUGCCUAAGAGUCCAUUAGCUCUAAAAAAUAUUUUCCCUUUAUUUUUCCGUAAUCCAAGUGCACUCUCUCCUUUUCAUUCGCAGGCAAGAAGGGAGUGAAUUGUGAUGCCGUAGGCAAAGCUAAUAAAGGAGACGAUUAGAUUGGGGGUACAAUCAUACGCAACAAGAAAUAUAGUCUAAAAUUGGAGAACCAAUUCUAGAACUCAGCCUAGAUUAGCCUCAUGUUAUAUACGUCCUCGUUUAAGUGCUUGAUUUAUUAGGUCUAUAAGAUGAACUUCAAUCUAAGUUGAUGAUGCUUUAACGAGUCGAUCUGAAGUACGGGCUAAAUUUCGUAUUCAUUUCAUCAUAAUGAGCAAUUAACAUGGAAAAAGGCGGCACAUUUUAGAUCCCCUAGAUGUUGGAAUUGAUGUGAUGAAGAUUACGGACAUUUUUA
rnacentral:lncRNA from 1 species